rnacentral:lncRNA from 1 species
AUCAUCUAGCAUCUCUAGUGUGAGGAAUUGCAAAGCUCUUUCAGGUAUAAAUCUAAGAAUACAUGCACAUCAGACUCAGGUAAUUUUUUUCUCAUUUUCAUAUUUUAACAACUGUUAAAACUGCAUCAUAUAUUUCUUGUCUUCUGACUUACUUCAUGUAUUACUUGUCCUCCACUAGAAACAGG